ensembl:lncRNA LINC02625 long intergenic non-protein coding RNA 2625
UUCGUGUUAGGUGGCAUUGUAACCAUUACAAUGCAGUAUUUGAGGCCAUGCCCUCAGGAACUUAUAGUAAGGGUGAGAAGAUGUAUGUAAAACUCUAUCUAUCCAAUGGAGCAAGAUUAUAGGUUACCCCACCUGAACAUCCUCCUGGGAGGAAGCAGGGCAUGAAUCCGAAGGAAUUAGUGAAGUCCUUCCAUAGCCAUCCUUGAUGGUGGAGCGGGGGUGUGUCUCAGCAAAAAGGGCUGAAGUAUAAGGUGCUGGGACCAGUUGUCAGUAAAGGCAGUAUGAUUCAAUGAAUCAAUUAAAUCAGGAUGGAGAAGGGAAGCAAAAAGUCCAAGCCAGAUAAGUGGAACUACCCAUGAAACUGGAGGGUGUGGUGAACAAAAGCAAAAUGAUUAGUCACAAGGUCAGGAGCAAGUGGCCCCAGGAUGAAGAAAGGUAGCUAGAUGGAGGAUGGUUCUCCUCAUUCCGCAGAUGAUGAACUUGAAACCAGUGACAGUGAGUGAGUUUCAG